CUUCUCCAUUUUCUAUGCUACGAUCCCAUCAUUUCGCCUCUCCUCCUCUUCAAAGGUUUUCAACUAUUCCUAACUACAAAACUGGUUAUGAGAAUAAUUCAUGCCAUUCUCUUUGAUGGAACUGUUGUCACAGAUGUUGAGAUGGUUGCUCGAAAUCAAAACUGAAUGGCCUUGGGCAAACAGGCUCCACGUUGAUGUCGUGAAAAGGUGCCAAGUAAGGGUGGCAUAGAGCCUCGUCGACUGUAAUGCGCAUAUGAAUUUUGCAAUGAGAAGAGUGUUGUUAUAAGUUGUUAGGCUGUAAUCUAGAUGGAAGUAAAGGAUAACAAAUAUGGUAAUAAAGCGGGUAAAACAAAAGACAACUUAGGUACACUAGCAUUGAAUCUGAGAAGUUGCAAACCAUCAUUUCUUUUCAUAAUUUGGAGUCCUGAAUAUUGUUAGAUUUGGAAACAAAUUAUAAUAUGUAAUCACUACAAGUUUCUAUAGGCUUAGACUUAGAUUUGACACAAGUGUCAGAUACGGAUUUAUGGUAUGACAUAGGUGCAUUAUAAAAAAAAAGUGUUUUCAUGUAUUUUUGGAGGGUCAACAUAGUCUAUAGGCAUAAAAGGUGUGCUUAUUUGUACAAAAUGAGUUUAAUUGAAGUGCUAUCUGGUGCUAUUAUAUUUAAGCACAAGUCCAA